rnacentral:tRNA from 1 species
GCAAGCUUAACUCAGUUGGUAGAGUGACUCCCUGAAGAGGAGAUGGUCGGAGGUUCAAAUCCUUCAGCUUGCACCA